GACGAACGCUGGCGGCGUGCUUAACACAUGCAAGUCGAACGGAAAGGCCCUGCUUUUGUGGGGUGCUCGAGUGGCGAACGGGUGAGUAACACGUGAGUAACCUGCCCUUGACUUUGGGAUAACUUCAGGAAACUGGGGCUAAUACCGGAUAGGAGCUCCUGCUGCAUGGUGGGGGUUGGAAAGUUUCGGCGGUUGGGGAUGGACUCGCGGCUUAUCAGCUUGUUGGUGGGGUAGUGGCUUACCAAGGCUUUGACGGGUAGCCGGCCUGAGAGGGUGACUGGCCACAUUGGGACUGAGAUACGGCCCAGACUCCUACGGGAGGCAGCAGUGGGGAAUAUUGCACAAUGGGCGGAAGCCUGAUGCAGCAACGCCGCGUGCGGGAUGACGGCCUUCGGGUUGUAAACCGCUUUCGCCUGUGACGAAGCGUGAGUGACGGUAAUGGGUAAAGAAGCACCGGCUAACUACGUGCCAGCAGCCGCGGUGAUACGUAGGGUGCGAGCGUUGUCCGGAUUUAUUGGGCGUAAAGGGCUCGUAGGUGGUUGAUCGCGUCGGAAGUGUAAUCUUGGGGCUUAACCCUGAGCGUGCUUUCGAUACGGGUUGACUUGAGGAAGGUAGGGGAGAAUGGAAUUCCUGGUGGAGCGGUGGAAUGCGCAGAUAUCAGGAGGAACACCAGUGGCGAAGGCGGUUCUCUGGGCCUUUCCUGACGCUGAGGAGCGAAAGCGUGGGGAGCGAACAGGCUUAGAUACCCUGGUAGUCCACGCUGUAAACGGUGGGUACUAGGUGUGGGGUCCAUUCCACGGGUUCCGUGCCGUAGCUAACGCUUUAAGUACCCCGCCUGGGGAGUACGGCCGCAAGGCUAAAACUCAAAGGAAUUGACGGGGCCCCGCACAAGCGGCGGAGCAUGCGGAUUAAUUCGAUGCAACGCGUAGAACCUUACCUGGGUUUGACAUGGAUCGGGAGCGCUCAGAGAUGGGUGUGCCUCUUUUGGGGUCGGUUCACAGGUGGUGCAUGGCUGUCGUCAGCUCGUGUCGUGAGAUGUUGGGUUAAGUCCCGCAACGAGCGCAACCCUUGUUCACUGUUGCCAGCACGUUAUGGUGGGGACUCAGUGGAGACCGCCGGGGUCAACUCGGAGGAAGGUGGGGAUGACGUCAAGUCAUCAUGCCCCUUAUGUCCAGGGCUUCACGCAUGCUACAAUGGCUGGUACAGAGAGUGGCGAGCCUGUGAGGGUGAGCGAAUCUCGGAAAGCCGGUCUCAGUUCGGAUUGGGGUCUGCAACUCGACCUCAUGAAGUCGGAGUCGCUAGUAAUCGCAGAUCAGCAACGCUGCGGUGAAUACGUUCCCGGGGCU
rnacentral:rRNA from 1 species